rnacentral:rRNA from 1 species
UACGAAGGGGGCUAGCGUUGCUCGGAUUUACUGGGCGUAAAGGGCGCGUAGGCGGAUGACCAAGUUGGGGGUGAAAUCCCGGGGCUUAACCUCGGAACUGCCUCCAAAACUGGUCGUCUUGAGUUUGGGAGAGGUGUGUGGAACUCCGAGUGUAGAGGUGAAAUUCGUAGAUAUUCGGAAGAACACCAGUGGCGAAGGCGACACACUGGCCCAAUACUGACGCUGAGGCGCGAAAGCGUGGGGAGCAAACAGG